rnacentral:rRNA from 1 species
UACGUAGGGUGCAAGCGUUGUCCGGGAAUUUAUUGGGCGUAAAGAGCUCGUAGGCGGUUUGUCGCGUCUGCUGUGAAAACCCGAGGCUCAACCUCGGGCCUGCGGUGGGUACGGGCAGACUAGAGUGAUGUAGGGGAGACUGGAAUUCCUGGUGUAGCGGUGAAAUGCGCAGAUAUCAGGAGGAACACCAAUGGCGAAGGCAGAUCUCUGGGCCGUAAACUGACGCUGAGGAGCGAAAGCAUGGGGAGCGAACAGG